CAGAGGUCUCAAGCGUUGUUCGGAUUCAUUGGGCGUAAAGGGUGCGUAGGUGGCGCGGUAAGUCGGGUGUGAAAUUUCGGAGCUUAACUCCGAAACUGCAUUCGAUACUGCCGUGCUUGAGGACUGGAGAGGAGACUGGAAUUUACGGUGUAGCAGUGAAAUGCGUAGAUAUCGUAAGGAAGACCAGUGGCGAAGGCGGGUCUCUGGACAGUUCCUGACACUGAGGCACGAAGGCCAGGGGAGCAAACGGG
rnacentral:rRNA from 1 species